rnacentral:tRNA from 1 species
GGAUUUAGCACAGUGGUAGAGCGCUUGCCUAGCAAGCACAAGGCCCUGGGUUCGGUCCCCAGAUCCG